rnacentral:rRNA from 1 species
CCUACGGGAGGCAGCAGUGAGGAAUAUUGGUCAAUGGACGAGAGUCUGAACCAGCCAAGUAGCGUGAAGGAUGACUGCCCUAUGGGUUGUAAACUUCUUUUAUAUGGGAAUAAAAUGUUCCACGUGUGGGAUUUUGUAUGUACCAUAUGAAUAAGGAUCGGCUAACUCCGUGCCAGCAGCCGCGGUAAUACGGAGGAUCCGAGCGUUAUCCGGAUUUAUUGGGUUUAAAGGGAGCGUAGGUGGAUUGGUAAGUCAGUUGUGAAAGUUUGCGGCUCAACCGUAAAAUUGCAGUUGAAACUGGCAGUCUUGAGUACAGUAGAGGUGAGCGGAAUUCGGGGUGUAGCGGUGAAAUGCUUAGAUAUCACGAAGAACUCCGAUUGCGAAGGCAGUUCACUGGACUGCAACUGACACUGAGGCUCGAAAGUGUGGGUAUCAAACAGGAUUAGAUACCCGUGUAGUC